ACGACUACACUCCUACGGGAGGCAGCAGUGGGGAAUAUUGGACAAUGGGGGAAACCCUGAUCCAGCGACACCGCGUGAGUGAAGAAGUAUUUCGGUAUGUAAAGCUCUAUCAGCAGGGAAGAAAAUGACGGUACCUGACUAAGAAGCCCCGGCUGACUACGUGCCAGCAGCCGCGGUAAUACGUAGGGGGCAAGCGUUAUCCGGAUUUACUGGGUGUAAAGGGAGCGUAGACGGCACUGCAAGUCUGGAGUGAAAGCCCGGGGCUCAACCCCGGGACUGCUUUGGAAACUGUGGUGCUAGAGUGCAGGAGAGGUAAGUGGAAUUCCUAGUGUAACGGUGAAAUGCGUAGAUAUUAGGAGGAACACCAGUGGCGAAGGCGGCUUACUGGACUGUAACUGACGUUGAGGCUCGAAAGCGUGGGGAGUAAACAGGAUUAGAAACCCUAGUAGUCCACCAAUCC
rnacentral:rRNA from 1 species